rnacentral:rRNA from 1 species
UACGGGGGGGGCAAGCGUUGUUCGGAAUUACUGGGCGUAAAGGGCUCGUAGGCGGCCAACUAAGUCGGACGUGAAAUCCCUCGGCUUAACCGGGGAACUGCGUCCGAUACUGGAUGGCUUGAGUUUGGGAGAGGGAUGCGGAAUUCCAGGUGUAGCGGUGAAAUGCGUAGAUAUCUGGAGGAACACCGGUGGCGAAGGCGGCAUCCUGGACCAACACUGACGCUGAGUGAGCGAAAGCCAGGGGAGCAAACGGG